UACGUAGGGUGCAGGCGUUAAUCGGAAUUACUGGGCGUAAAGCGUGCGCAGGCGGUUUCUUAAGUCAGAUGUGAAAGCCCCGGGCUUAACCUGGGAACUGCGCUUGCGACUGCAAGACUCGAGUACGGCAGAGGGGGGUGGAAUUCCACGUGUAGCAGUGGAAUGCGUAGAGAUGUGGAGGAACACCGAUGGCGAAGGCAGCCCCCUGGGUCGAUACUGACGCUCAUGCACGAAAGCGUGGGGAGCAAACAGG
rnacentral:rRNA from 1 species